CUCACAAACCCUAAUCUGCCGGAGAGAUAAUUAUCACGUAUUACUGGGCCUCAGAUUCUCUGGAUUUAACAUAAAGAGUAGUCAGAGAGAAAGCCGAGUUCAAGCGUAGGAGAAAACAGCCUAAACGAGAAGCAAGCCAAAGUCAGGAACACAGAGAGCGGAUAGACGAAUAAACAAGCCAGAGUCCGUAACAAGGAAUCCAAAAUACAAUAAAACACACUCUUGGGUAAUCAAGAACCACAACAGGGCAACGUGCUACAGAAAGCCCUGGCUUUAUAUAGCCAGGGCACUAACACUAUUGGUUAGCAUCAUUUUGG